GUGGCUGAGACUGACCCCAAGAUUGUGCAGGAUCUCACAUUGAUGGUGGAGAUGUUCCUGCAACAUGUGUGAAAUAAGUUUCAGAACAUGUCUGACCAGAUCAUUGGAAAAAUUGAUGAUAUGAAUACUCUCAUUGAUCUUGAGAAAAACGUCAAAGAUCUCCCUUAUAACACAGACUGAGGUGGAAGAACUGGAAGGUGAAAACAAGAUA
rnacentral:lncRNA from 1 species